GCACCAGUUCACACGCGUUUUUUCUGGUUCAUUUUCAAUAUUGACUCUCUCAACUCCUUUUUCUCUUACCGCCGGCGAUGCGCGACCCUAAAGACGGUUGUGAAAUCGCGCUGACCUCUUGAAGUCCUGUUGUUGCCUGGUUGCUUCAUAUCGCGUAGUCGGUGUUGUUAGUUGACGGGUUACUUCCUAUGGCAGCCGUGAAAACGGACGGAAAUUGGUGGAAGACGGUGUCAUGGUGGACGGACAACCUUCAUGUGUCGUGAAUCUUGGCUAGCCGAGAAGCGCAGUCCAGCUCGAAAAGUUCGAAAAACUAGCAAAGCGUACAGGAAGACGAAAACCAUGACAAUAGCCCACAAUGCAUACACAAGAUGAGGUGAUUGAGGUAGAACAACACACACACCAGUCGUAAAUGCUAACAUCAAUGCACCCAAUGCAACUGUGCUCAAGAAAAGUGCAGCAAAUGAGAGAGACUCAAUAUUCCAGGUAGAUUCUGUAGUUAUAAUAGUGAAGUAGGAGAAUAUUGCAAGACUGGAGCAUGUAAAGGCUAUAGCAUCUGAAAUCAAGAAGAUUUUGAAGGCAGAUUUACUCUGAAGCAAUGCCAUUCCUAUGUUAUUAUCUCCAGGAUUUUGAUUGAAUCCACCUGGUAAGGUGAAUCCAGCAGUAAAAGAUACUGUAGCGAUUAGAGUUGCAACUAAGGACUGCCCUUGAGCUGCUUUUCUGAGUGCCACAAGUUUUGAUUCUUCUUUCGAUUUUGCUUUCUCAAUAUCAAUCUCUUCUUCAUAUGUGCUAACUCUCUUCCCCCUUGGAGUCAUCCAACUUCUAAGUCGUUGUAUAAUCUACAAGAAAUAUAUAGAGAGCAGAAUGUGGAAGAUUUGUCAGAUAAUCAAUGACAAUACCCUUUAGAGGCAUGCAUGGAUGGCAUUUCAAUUGAAAAGUUACGAGAAGGCUGCCUAAAAUUUUCUUUGCACCAUGAAAGAAAAUAUUUUGUUUUGGGAAAGUAUGAAACUUACACGUCCGGAAUAAAACAUGUGAAAUUUAUCAGCCAAGAUAUCCCCAACAGUAAGUUUUUGUUUGUUGAACACCAGAAGGUUCAGUUUUUGUUUGUUUGAUCUGAUGAAAAGUGGUAGUUGGAGUAGACAAACAUGGCCGAGGGCAAGAAUAUGUGUGGCGAAAAGAUGAAGAGGCGUAUUUCCAUCCAUAUCUUUCUCAUUAAGGAGAUUGUCAAAAUGUCCGUUCUUUAAGAAGGUUUCAAAUUUAUAUAGACAUCCCCAUUUGGCAGCAUAAUGUACUGCAUUCUGCCCAUGGUUGUCCACUAUCUCGAUGCAAUCUGGGCGGCAUGUUGUGAGCUUCUUUAUGGCAUCCCAGUUAACCCGAAGUACUGCAAUAUGCAGAGGUGUUCGCCCCUUAUUGUCCUGUAUAUAUAGUGCUGAUGAUUCGUUGAGGUCUUUUUUGUCAUAAUAUAAAAGUAUCUUCAGAAGCUUGAACUUGCUGAUCUCUGCUGCAGCACAAUGGAGUGGAGUUAACCCCUCAUCGUCUUGAAUUCUGAUUAACGAGGUUCCUUUCUCCAGCAUCUUUCCCACCAUUUCUGAUAAAAUCCACAAUUAGAUAUAAUACUUGGACAAUAACAAGAAGGUUGUACUCAGCCCAUGCCAUUUUCUGUUGUGACAAAAUCAAUUCAGGUUACUUCUAGACUUUUAUUACAGGCAUAAUCCUGGUCUAACUAGUUUCAGUUGCAUACUUUUGGUUCACUUCAACUCAUUAGUUUUGAAUUAAGUGGGGGUGGUUAGGUUCAGCUCUUGUUUAUUUCUCCAAGCAUAUACAAUCAAUUUUGUCAGAUCUUGUAUCAGCAAUAUAUAUUAGUCUGUAAUUGGUAGCUUUUGCAUUCAUAUUCCUCAACCAUUUGACUACAACACCAAAAAGCCAAGACAAAUAGUUUGUUAUGGAAAUAUAAAUGUAGUACUCCAUAUGAAAAUAUAUAUACUUUAUAUGAUGUGCUUCAGGGUUAGGUGAUGGUACUAAUAAAUUUAUUUGAAUAGAACUAAUGUUUGUUAAUUGUUGUUAAUUCAUCCUACCAACACCCCUGGCACACUUGAUUGUUUACUCCAACCAACAUGUCACAAAUUUAGCAAUCUUGACUCUUGCAGUGAAAUUGAUCUUCAUCUGUUCUUACUCCAACUAACAGGUCAAAUUUGAGUUUUCUUAACAAAAAUGUAAGGCAAAUAACAGUUUAUGGUAGAAAUUGGCCACACUAAUACUUCAUGGUUAUUACCUGCGUCACCCAAUUGGAC